UAUUACAAACAUUGUAAAGUAAAUACACAAAAUAAUAGCCGCUUAUUGUACAAUUACAGGUAUACCAUUCAAAGAUGCUAAAAUAAAGACGACAACGUAUAUGGAAAGUAUUAGUAUUAAAAUAAAGUCAUUCAUUGUAUGCUAUAGGCCUACUAUAUCGUAUUUAAUAGUUAGUUAGUAGAUUAAGCUACAUUUAUUUGUCCAAGCUAUAUGUAUCGUAUGUAUGUAUAGGUAUACUAACUACUGUCUAAUUAGUAUUGACUUCAGAGUGGUAAUUUGUUCAUAGACAACAUUACAAUCAAAACGUAGGUACAUAAAAGUAACACAACAUUUAACAACAGCUGAUUUUGUGACGGCUCGCCACAUACGGACAAUAUUUUUUACGGUAAUAAUAAUAAUGCGUCAAACAAUCACGCCUUCACAAGAAAUUUUUAGCAACAAAUCGUAGUUUUAUCAAUUAGGAAACGUUGUAAAUCCAUCUUUAAAAAAACAUUUGAAUCAUUGAUAAUUUUCUUUUUUAGGUUCCGUACGUCUGUCCGUCUGUCACAGUCAAUUUGCUCCGAAGCUAUUGGACCGGAAGUUCCGAUCUGCCGGAGAUUUAUCUUUGCCAAUUCAUCACACCGAACCGAGUAAUGUAAACGAACUCGAAACCGAAGUUCCCUUUUAAGAAGGAGCAGGAAGCAGACGUAUAGUUUUGAUUUCUCAAACGUAUAGAAAUUAUCUACUGAUACAUGUUCGGGAUGCUGCCUCAUGCCAUCGGUGUGACUCUCACCGCCUCUCGCCAUCAAGGAGUUGGAUUUAGGAAAUGGAAAACUAGCACCGCACUGCCAUUCCGAAUGAAGUGGAGAAAUUUCCAUAAUUUGAUUUCAAAUACUUGCACCGAAAGUCGUAAAUGGAGUAAGAGAGUUUGAAAGAAGUUAGGCGUCCAACUUCGACGUGCAUUCGAGGUGUGUGGAUGCAUUUGCACCGACUGCCAAAUCGAAAAUGUGAUGAAUCGAAAAAUAAAUCAUCAACUAAAACUACUCCUGGAAAGCACUUAUUUGACAUGGCACUUGAAAACUGUCGACACCAUAAGAUUUAUCGUACCUCUUUAUAUAAUCAUCACUUUUUAAAGUAAAACUACUGCUGGAAAGCACUUAUUUGACAUGGCACUUGAAAACCGCCGACACCAUGAGAUUCAUCGUAUCUCUUUACAUAAUCAUCACUUCUUAAAGUAAAACUACU